GCUUCCCUUCCUCCCACUUCUCCCCGUGCAGAGUAACCAGUGUAGGGAGGAGGCCUGGAAGGGCAGCAACAGAAGAGAGCUGCUUUGUGAAGCUCCAGAAGCAACAGGAGUUGUCAGCCUGCCGAAAUGGUUAAAGAACACCCACCAAGGAGUCCGUGGCCGUAAUUCAGUUGUGGCAGAGAGGACAGAAACAAGGAGAAGAGUCCAAGAUGGGUGUUUUGACCAGAAAAACAACACCCCCGAGACAGACCUCCAUUGCCUGAUCUAUCCAUCACGUGGUGGGCAGCCCAGACAUUGUACAACGUUAGGUAGGAGAUGUGUGCUCCAGAAGUGGCCAUCCCCCGGAUCUGUGCUUUUGAAGUCAGAUUUCAUCGCCGUGGCUGAUCAUAUGCCCAACCCCAGGGAGCUGGCUGGUGCCCUGCAGCCACACAAACACGAAGCUGGUGGAGCCAGAGCUGCUGUGAAAGCCAUUUCGGAAGUUUCCUGUGGCUGCAACAAAUUGUUGGGGUCUGCCCCACAACACCGCUGUGACCUGCUUACCUCAAUUUCAGGGCAGCCAGCUCCUGAAACUGGAGAUUCCCAGAGCCCCUUGGUUUCUGCUUCCCCGGGGGGUGAGGAGGACUGCCUGUAACACCUCCCCUCUCUGUCCAAGCAUGCCAGCCCUGCCCAAUGGGCUGGACAGACUGGGUUUCCUGUGCCUCCGAUCCCAGGGGGGAGGUGAUUAUUGCUUCCAUAGAGAUGGCUGAGAAUAAGCGAGGCAGUGAUGUGGGUCUGGGACCCAGUUAGGCCUGCAUCUGCAGGCAAAAAGAGAGGCUGGGUGACAUGGAGAGAGCUCAACUGGAAGAUUCCAAGCCUCUCAGUUUUGAAAGGAAAGGGCAUGGACUUAGUUGUCAGUUUGUUCCUGCCUUUUAAAAUUGUUGCUUUGUGACUUUGGCCAGUUAACAUGUUGUAGCCACACGUUCUGGGAAACAAACUCACUCAGAAGGACAAUGCAGAUAGUGGAGUGCAGUUUAUUACACCGGCUGGCCCAAGGCAGAGUCUCCUCUUAGCCAAGGAC
ensembl:lncRNA